GACCACUGAUUUUAUAUUGCCGGUUUGAAGUUGCAAUAGAGGAUAUGAACAUAACCAACGUGGAGUGGCCUGGGCUCUAGUGGGGAUGAACAUCACAACUGAUGAGCAUUACCGUGUUUGUUUCUUUGCAACAUGAGUGGAUAAUUUCAUACCAAGGAUUCCGUGUUCAGCACACAGCUGAAAGAGACAACGUGGUAUUCCUGGUUUACAUCUUACUCAACUGGAACUUCAGAGAGCUAACAAACACAUUUCAUUAAAUCUUAUUCCAGCCAAUGAUAGUCAUGGGCUGACUAUAAAACAGGAGGAACAAGGACCAGGAAGGCAGAGAAGUGUUUUGGGAAGAAACACAACGCGUCUGGAAAAUGGCAAGGAGACAGUAGUAUUGGAAAGGAACAGCAACACGGAGAAAAAUCUUGGGAGCAGUCUAAAGUUAACUGCAGGAACAAAUGAAUUGGUUUGGAGAUUUUUGUUUCUUUGGAUUUUGUGUUUUUUGGGGAUUUUGUUUUAUUAUCACCUGCCAUUGUUGGACUGUGUUCAAGCUACCUUUUUCGUGGUAACUGGUUGGUGUAAAGAAUUAUUGACAGUGAAAGCAUUUUUUUGGUUUACAAGCAAAUAGAUUUUUAUUUUAGGUAACUGCUUUGCUGUGUCUGGUUGGCACUCCUUGGACAAUCCAUUCCCCAGUAGAGUCAAGGUCAUGGUCCCGGGAGACGGAGAAAGGUCUUAGGGCGAGAAGAGAUAACAUUAUUUAAUUUACAAUUUAAUCAUUUCCAGACUUGCUCUAACUUUCUAAUAUGUAUUGUACUUUAUACUAACCCACACUGAGUGAUCUCUUUGUAGUCCUGCCAGGACAUGCUCAAGGUCUACUUACCGUUGUCCCAAGGUUCGAGGUUCAGCAUCCAGGUAUGGAGAUGCUUACCAGUUAGCGUGGAAGAUCGAGGUCCAGAGCCGGUCUCCAGCAUGCCACAUCAGUGUUCCAAGAACGGUGGCAAGAGAGAAAGGAGACACACAGGGUUUAAAGAUAAGGGGAAGUAAACAGAACCCCUGGGUAGAGGUGGUAAUUCUACUUACCUGAGUGUACGUUUCCCGACGGCCAUUUUCUUUGACCCGCUCCGUUUUAGGUUCAUCGAAGGUGUUGGCUGGUCGUCGGUUGGAGGUCCGAGCAGGGGGCAUGGUGAGGUCCGUGGCAGGUUUGGGCUGCAAGAGAAGUGGAUGUCAGGGGACUCUUGGGACUCCUCUGAGCUAUCAGAGACUGAUUCCUUCUUUUUGGCUUAUCUGCCCGUUUAGACAGUACUCUUUCCUUUUUUUUACCAGAACUACCAA